CCCCAGACUCCUACGGGAGGCAGCAGUGGGGAAUAUUGCACAAUGGGGGAAACCCUGAUGCAGCGACGCCGCGUGAGCGAUGAAGUAUUUCGGUAUGUAAAGCUCUAUCAGCAGGGAAGAAAAUGACGGUACCUGACUAAGAAGCCCCGGCUAACUACGUGCCAGCAGCCGCGGUAAUACGUAGGGGGCAAGCGUUAUCCGGAUUUACUGGGUGUAAAGGGAGCGUAGACGGCUGUGCAAGCCAGAUGUGAAAGCCCGGGGCUCAACCCCGGGACUGCAUUUGGAACUGUGUGGCUGGAGUGUCGGAGAGGCAGGCGGAAUUCCUAGUGUAGCGGUGAAAUGCGUAGAUAUUAGGAGGAACACCAGUGGCGAAGGCGGCCUGCUGGACGAUGACUGACGUUGAGGCUCGAAAGCGUGGGGAGCAAACAGGAUUAGAUACCCCGGUAGC
rnacentral:rRNA from 1 species